GCCUGUUUGGUUGCCGACCGAUGUGCGCCAUGCCACACAUGUGGCCGCCACCAAGAGCUCGGCUGUUGUUUGGUUGUUGCCAACGUGAGCCAUGCCAAAGACUGUGGCUGCCACCGCUUCGAUGGCUCCUGUUUGGUUCCUGUAAAAGUUGCGGCUGCCACUGCUACUUUCUACGUAAAACCGCGCCACAGCCGUGGCGUCAAAAUCCAUCGCCUAAGGUUUGGCGCUGCCAUCGUUGCAGAGUGGCGAGCCACAGCCAAAAAGAAAAAACUACGGCGGCGCCACACAUGCAGUGGCAGGCUCUGGCAGCUAACCAAACAGCCUC
rnacentral:lncRNA from 1 species